rnacentral:lncRNA from 1 species
GAAAAUACAGAAAACUUUUAUCACAGACAGGCUGGAAAUGCCAUUAGUGAAAAACAGAUACUUCUUCAAGCACAUCAAAACUGUCAAUACCAGGUGCUUCAAAGAAAAAAAAAAAUCUGCUUUGAUUAUAGGAAGACUGUGGCAGAGGAAAUCCUUUCACAAGCUGUAUUAUCUAGUCAAAGAAAGAUAAACCAUGAUUAAUAAACUGCAUGCAGAUUUGUGUGGAUCAGACCUUGGAUUAUUCUGAGAAGUGAUUUUACAGAAACUCUUUGGUGUUUUUUUUUCUGUGAAUAACUAAGGAACUGUCCUGGGAGAACAGAAAACUUCUAACUUCCAAACCAUCUCAAAACUCCAAGCAACUUCUUACAGAGUAUAAAAUGGCAUUUCCCAGGGCAUUGGUAGUGAAGCUCAGCCAAAACAAAAUACAAGGCAUGCUUGGACUGCCCAAACAGUUGUGUUUUAGUUAAAAGUUUACCAGUUUGAGGGCUGUUCCAGCAGGUACCUGCACAUCAGUGCUGCUUUUUUGGCCUGUUUUUAAUGCAUCACAUGGCAAGUUUAGUUGUCAUUACUGAUAGUCACCUGUCAGGGCUUUAUCUGCUGGGAUUUGCUUUCACUCUUUUGCAUUCCUGUCUUUGUGCCUGUCAGUGUGUCCUUCAAUAUCUGUGUGUCACCCCACCUUGUGUCACAUUAUGCAUUAUACUCCUAUAAAUGCCUGGAUUCUCUUGUCAUCCUUUGGUCAGAGAAUCUCAGAUUAAUUUCUCAAGGUCCAACCAAGUUUUUUGAGGUUAACAAAUUCACCUCAAUUAGAUGUGGUUUGCAUUCAGCUAAAUAUUCUGGUCCUGACACAGGCUUAAAUAGUGUCUCAUUUUGGCAUAGCAUUCCUUGGAUGUCUCUUUUUUUUGGGCCCCCUUUUCCUGAGCCUGAAUGUGACACUCCGUGUCUUAGGUCAGAUGAUACAGAAGGGUUUGCAGGAAAUAUUGCAGCUGGCAGAUCUGUUCCCGUUAAAGAAGCUCCUUCGAGAAGAAGGGCUGGGCUGGAUGCAUGCACCCCUUGUUGCCACGCAACAGUCAGACAGAACCCCGGGUACCAGACACAGCUCAUCCAUCAUUUGGUGAUUUUUCUGUGUCCUUUGCAAAUGUGGCUUCCAGAACUGCACGCAGUCUUCCAGGCAUUCCAGUUGAGCCAAAGCCAGUGUAGAGCCAAACCCAUUCUCCUAGUCAGCAUGAUCUCCUCAAUGUUGCCCCAUGCCAGAACCACUUGA